AGCCAGGCCAAGGAUGGGUUUCUCCGGGCUGAGUGGUACCCAAGGAGCUGGCUCUGAGGAUGUGCGCUUGUGCUUGGUGCUCAGAGGCAGGGAUGGGCUCCUCCUGGUUCUUGUGUCCUCAGCAAAGAUGGAUGAGCUGGUCAGGAGUGGACGUGUCCUUCCAGGAGCUAAACAGGGAAAACAAGCAGAUCAUAGGUCUGACUUGAGAAAUGCAUAAGGUUGGAACCCCAGCUGUGACAGAUGGUGGUCAGGCACGACUUAGAAAGUCUCCUAGAAAUCAGGACAGCUUAGGGAACCGGGGACCUCCAUCGCUCACAGCUGGGACACAUCAUGGGAAGACCGGGUAAGGACAGCAGGAGCAGUCUGACCAAGGAGCAGAACUGCAAAGCUGCUCUUUCUACUGGCAACUUUCCUUCCCAUCCCUGUCCCAGCAGCAGCGGCACUCAGGAGAGUACAGUGCAUCCUAACAGUGCCAGCAACAGGGGCACCAAGGGUAAGGGUAUGCCAUGCUGCUCCUCACGGCAGGGCUCAGGACUAGGGAAAGCAAGUCAGCCUUCUUCCCUCGAGAAGAAGAGGACAGAAGGGCACCCCCUACAGCACCAGACAUGCUUCGUCAGUGCCCCAUCCUCUGCUGAUGGAGCUAUGCUGCACAGCUCCAGCAGCUCACCCCAACAGCUCACACAGGAUCUCACCCGACUUUGCCCGAUGGGGAGGGAAGGGAGGUGGGUAGGAGGGGGCUGGUGGCACAUCCAGGCUGUGGAGGUGGGCAUGUGGCAAGGUGUAGGUGUCUGGCUGCCUCUCCUGGGACACUGCCCCUGCUGCUUCUGGUCUGGUGGCAGUGGCAGGAGGCUGGCAGCAGCUCUGUGGAGAGGAAGGCCCCUUCUUCAUAAGACCCAGCUGGAAAGAAUAUAUUUG
rnacentral:lncRNA from 1 species